UAAAUAUCCUAAUCAAAUGUGUGGGUCGAAGCUGCAGUGCCACUCCUCAUCCUCCAAAUCUGAAGACAAUAGUGGACUGGAAGAGUAACUUGUCAAACCGCUGGACAACAGGUCAUGCAGGAAUGACACCUUCCACAGCACAUAAACAAAGUAACUCUUGUCCAGUGUGUAGGAUUUAGUGGCAUCUAGUGGUGGAACUACUGAUUGCAACACUGUCACCUCACCUUCCUGUUCCAAGCAUGUAGGAGAAACUAUGGUGGCCGUGAAACUCGAGGAAAACGCAAAAGGCCCUGCCUAAACCCAGUGUUUGGUUUGUCCGUUCUGGGAUACUGGAGAAACAUGGCAGCCUCUGUCCUCCUAAAUGUUGCAGGCUGGACCUUUAAAUCCCACUGAGACCAGGCACGGAGCCGAUGUCUCAUUGCAGACGGGGCAGGCACCUUUCGUGGGCCCUUAAUAUAUAGGCUGGGGGAUGGGAUGGAAGGGGUCCUAUUCACCACCACAGACAGUGCCAUGGAUUUAUCAUUAAACAGAAACCUGCUGAGACUGAAGCAUUACAACUUCUGAUAGGCUGUUUCAGAGCCAUGAUCAGAUAAAGGAUAAAAAAGAUAAGGUUGACUGAACUAGCAAGCGUUCAGAUUUUGAUAUUCAGUGAUGGUAGAUGCUCACACAGCCACACAGCUAUAUAGCCUACACAAUACAGCCACAUAAUCAACCCACACACGGCAACAGAAGGGUGCAAGCAAUGUGUGUCAUGCCAUUACUGCAAUAACCAAACAGACACAGCGGUGCAGAAGCAACUCUACUUUUGGACAGAGAGUCAAAAACACCAGAUAUCCAGCAUCUAUGACAGGCCUGUCAUCACAAAUACUGAAUAUGAAACAACUUACUACGUAUGCUUUCACUCAGCAGCUGUCAGUUCAAAUCCAAUCCAGCAAAAAUCACAUGAAUCCACUGUAGUCUGUAUGAAAGGUCUAAAACAGUCCAACACGCUUGAACACGACAAACUCGAUGUGUUUCACCAUCAUCAUCUUCAUCAUCACUAUUGCUUUCAGCUACCUGCAGGGAGCUAGCUGCUGCUCCUUGCUAACAUUUCCACCUGUUUGUCUAACAGCUAACAGCAGGACUCUGUCGGACGUGGAGGGUUGAGUUGUUGAGUGAGAAGAAGUUUGAAAGCGGAAAACAUGAGUCAACAAGAUUCUACCUCUGCUCUCUGGCUUUGUUUUAAUACUUAUAUUGUUACGAAGAACAGCGAGGUAAACAGAGAUAGAGCAGAUAGACUACCAGCGUUUAAAUCUCCCGGUGCUGUGCUCAUCCAACGCAACGUGACUGGCGGGGGCCCUGUUAAGGGGGUACUAAAGGGGCGGAAUCAGCAACAGUACAAAUAGGCCCACAUUACAACCGCUGGUGCUGGCUGCUGCGUACAGUCGAGAACCCCUUGGCAGUAGUGAGGACUCGUCUCUGCUCUGCAAAAGACAGACUGAGUCUGACUUUUUAUUUUUCAAUCAAAACACACGAACAAACUUCAUUCAGCUAAACAACAAAAAAGCAUGUUUAGUCAGGCAGAUUGGGCCAAAGGUGGGCCCCUAGAGAACUAUGGGCCCCCUCUCGCUCCGCUGCAGACUUUUCUUUAAUAUGAAUGUCAAAGAGUGAAACAGAGGCAGAGACAAAUGAUGACGUCACAUAGAAGCUGUGAAUAGUUACAAGAUGAGUGUGGUUGGAUGGAUACUCUGUGACGGGUGGCCAGUGAUGCCGGUAACGCGUUACUUAGUAACACCCUCACUUUUUUCCGUAACGAGUAAUCUAACGCGUUACUAUUUCCAAACCGGUAAUCAGAUUAAAGUUACUUAUCCAAGUCACUGUGCGUUACUAUGUUUGUAAUUUUCCUUAUAUUUUCCUUAAUAUACUUGCUUUCUUCUUGCGUCUCUGGGAGUGAAGUCACGUAGCCUACGCGACAAGUCACGUUUUCAGCAUGAGGACAGUUCACGUGUAGGCUACGCAGACACAAACAUAAACAACAAUGGAGGGAGGAGAGAGAUAGGCGUUUGCUAGCUGGAAAUACAGUCACUAUUUUGAGUUUGUGUCAGCUAAAGAUGGCACUAUUAAGGUUUGUUGUACACUCUGUGCUGGUGGCGACAAAGUGCUAUCUAGCUACAAAAACACUACGUCAAAUUUGAAGAAACAUUUGGAGUCGCAGCACUGCACAGUCAGAGCAAGUCCCACCAGGUGGUACAAAGCAGAGAGCACCCAAACAACAAAAGCUGGACUUCGGUUCAAAACCAGUAAGUGGGGGAGAAUUGAAGAUGUUGCUCGGGCAGUAUGUUGUAGACUUAAAAUGUCAGGAGAUACAUUGUUGACGUUACUGUUAAAAAUGCACUUCCAAUAAAGUGAGUGUUG